rnacentral:tRNA from 1 species
GCGGUCAUGGCGUACGCCUGUCGGCGGCGCUGAUCUGUCUGUGGAACAGGAGGUCGGUGGUUCGAGCCCACCCAACUGUACCA